UGGGGAAUAUUGGACAAUGGGCGAAAGCCUGAUCCAGCCAUGCCGCGUGUGUGAAGAAGGUCUUCGGAUUGUAAAGCACUUUAAGUUGGGAGGAAGGGCAUUAACCUAAUACGUUAGUGUUUUGACGUUACCGACAGAAUAAGCACCGGCUAACUCUGUGCCAGCAGCCGCGGUAAUACAGAGGGUGCAAGCGUUAAUCGGAAUUACUGGGCGUAAAGCGCGCGUAGGUGGUUUGUUAAGUUGGAUGUGAAAUCCCCGGGCUCAACCUGGGAACUGCAUUCAAAACUGACUGACUAGAGUAUGGUAGAGGGUGGUGGAAUUUCCUGUGUAGCGGUGAAAUGCGUAGAUAUAGGAAGGAACACCAGUGGCGAGGGCGACCACCUGGACUAAUACUGACACUGAGGUGCGAAAGCGUGGGGAGCAAACA
rnacentral:rRNA from 1 species